ACGAACUCUGGUAUUGAUUGGUGCUUGCAUCAUGAUUUACAUUUGAGUGAGUGGCGAACUGGUGAGUAACACGUGGGAAACCUGCCCAGAAGCGGGGGAUAACACCUGGAAACAGAUGCUAAUACCGCAUAACAACUUGGACCGCAUGGUCCGAGCUUGAAAGAUGGCUUCGGCUAUCACUUUUGGAUGGUCCCGCGGCGUAUUAGCUAGAUGGUGGGGUAACGGCUCACCAUGGCAAUGAUACGUAGCCGACCUGAGAGGGUAAUCGGCCACAUUGGGACUGAGACACGGCCCAAACUCCUACGGGAGGCAGCAGUAGGGAAUCUUCCACAAUGGACGAAAGUCUGAUGGAGCAACGCCGCGUGAGUGAAGAAGGGUUUCGGCUCGUAAAACUCUGUUGUUAAAGAAGAACAUAUCUGAGAGUAACUGUUCAGGUAUUGACGGUAUUUAACCAGAAAGCCACGGCUAACUACGUGCCAGCAGCCGCGGUAAUACGUAGGUGGCAAGCGUUGUCCGGAUUUAUUGGGCGUAAAGCGAGCGCAGGCGGUUUUUUAAGUCUGAUGUGAAAGCCUUCGGCUCAACCGAAGAAGUGCAUCGGAAACUGGGAAACUUGAGUGCAGAAGAGGACAGUGGAACUCCAUGUGUAGCGGUGAAAUGCGUAGAUAUAUGGAAGAACACCAGUGGCGAAGGCGGCUGUCUGGUCUGUAACUGACGCUGAGGCUCGAAAGUAUGGGUAGCAAACAGGAUUAGAUACCCUGGUAGUCCAUACCGUAAACGAUGAAUGCUAAGUGUUGGAGGGUUUCCGCCCUUCAGUGCUGCAGCUAACGCAUUAAGCAUUCCGCCUGGGGAGUACGGCCGCAAGGCUGAAACUCAAAGGAAUUGACGGGGGCCCGCACAAGCGGUGGAGCAUGUGGUUUAAUUCGAAGCUACGCGAAGAACCUUACCAGGUCUUGACAUACUAUGCAAAUCUAAGAGAUUAGACGUUCCCUUCGGGGACAUGGAUACAGGUGGUGCAUGGUUGUCGUCAGCUCGUGUCGUGAGAUGUUGGGUUAAGUCCCGCAACGAGCGCAACCCUUAUUAUCAGUUGCCAGCAUUAAGUUGGGCACUCUGGUGAGACUGCCGGUGACAAACCGGAGGAAGGUGGGGAUGACGUCAAAUCAUCAUGCCCCUUAUGACCUGGGCUACACACGUGCUACAAUGGAUGGUACAACGAGUUGCGAACUCGCGAGAGUAAGCUAAUCUCUUAAAGCCAUUCUCAGUUCGGAUUGUAGGCUGCAACUCGCCUACAUGAAGUCGGAAUCGCUAGUAAUCGCGGAUCAGCAUGCCGCGGUGAAUACGUUCCCGGGCCUUGUACACACCGCCCGUCACACCAUGAGAGUUUGUAACAUCCAAAGUCGGUGGGGUAACCU
rnacentral:rRNA from 1 species